rnacentral:rRNA from 1 species
AUUGAACGCUGGCGGCAGGCCUAACACAUGCAAGUCGAACGAGUGGCGGACGGGUGAGUAACGUCUGGGAACCUGCCCGAUGGCGGGGGAUAACUCCUGGAACCGGUAGCUAAUACCGCAUACCAUCGGAUGUGCCCAGAUGGGAUUCGCUAGUAGGUGGGGUAAUGGGUCACCUAGGCCACGAUCCCUAGCUGGUCUGAGAGGAUGACCGGCCACACGGGAACUGAGACACGGUCCAGACUCCUACGGGAGGCAGCAGUGGGGAAUAUUGCGCAAUGGGCGCAAGCCUGAUGCAGCCAUGCCGCGUGUGUGAAGAAGGCCUUCGGGUUGUAAAGCACUUUCAGCGGGGAGGCGUUACCCGCAGAAGAAGCACCGGCUAACUCCGUGCCAGCAGCCGCGGUAAUUC